GUGCUUGCUUCGGUGGUACAUAUACUAAAAUUGGAACAAUAGGGAGAUUAGCAUGGCCCCUACACAAGGAUGACACACAAAUUUAUGAAGCAUUCCAUUAAAAA